GGGCCUAUAGCUCAGUUGGUAGAGCCUCCGGCUCAUAACCGGCAGGUCGCAGGUUCAAAUCCUGCUGGGCCCACCA
rnacentral:tRNA from 1 species